rnacentral:ncRNA from 1 species
AAAUGAACGGUGAAAAGGAAUAGUAAUUAGUGUAAUUAGGUUUAGAGAGUUGACGGGUGGUGCAAGUCAAUCCAAUGGACUAAUGAACUCGCCUUUGAGUUACAAAUGUGAACACCUUAGAGGGUAAGUAAUGUUUGUCGUAAAUCCACGUUACGGAUAUCAAAGUGGGCAUAAUAGCAUUAUGCCAAUAUUGGGUGGUACCACGGGAAUCAAACCUCUCGUCCCUUUC